AACGAACGCUGGCGGCAUGCCUAACACAUGCAAGUCGAACGAGACCUUCGGGUCUAGUGGCGCACGGGUGCGUAACGCGUGGGAACCUGCACUUAGGUUCGGAAUAACUCCCCGAAAGGGGUGCUAAUACCGGAUAAGGGCUUCGGACCAAAGAUUUAUCGCCUUUGGAUGGGCCCGCGUUGGAUUAGCUAGUUGGUAGGGUAAAAGCCUACCAAGGCGACGAUCCAUAGCUGGUCUGAGAGGAUGAUCAGCCACACUGGGACUGAGACACGGCCCAGACUCCUACGGGAGGCAGCAGUGGGUAAUAUUGGACAAUGGGCGGAGGCCUGAUCCAGCAAUGCCGCGUGAGUGCUGAAGGCCUUAGGGUUGUAAAGCUCUUUUACCCGGGAUGAUAAUGACAGUACCGGGAGAAUAAGCUCCGGCUAACUCCGUG
rnacentral:rRNA from 1 species